GUUUCUAUCUAUGAAGUGCUUUCUUCUAGUACGAAAGGAUCGAAGAAAAAAGGCCCCUGCCCAACAGCAAGCCUUACUCCUCCUUAUGAAAUUAACUUAAUUAGGCAAAAGGCACACCACCUACGCCAAAGAUAAUAGCU
rnacentral:rRNA from 1 species